UUGUCCUUGUGUUAUUUGCAAGCUGUUCUUUAAAGCUUGUGAUCGUCAAAAAGGACAUACAGUAAUUCUCAACAACUCGUUAUUACCUUUACAUGGUCUUUUCUGUGAAGGUAUCUCCAUAUGUUGAGGACAUCU
rfam:Megaselia scalaris, Durham, NC isolate 2 -- Noor lab, WGS project CAQQ02000000 data, contig: ctg0000214362